AUACGGAGGGUGCAAGCGUUACUUGGAAUCACUGGGCGUAAAGCGCGCGCAGGCGGUCUUUUAAGUUGGAUGAGAAAGCCUACGGCUCAACCGUAGAACUGCAUCCAAAACUAUUAGACUAGAGUGUGGGAGAGGAAGAUGGAAUUAGUUGUGUAGGGGUAAAAUCCGUAGAGAUAACUAGGAAUACCAAAAGCGAAGGCAAUCUUCUGGAACACUACUGACGCUGAGGCGCGAAAGCGUGGGGAGCAAACAGGAUUAGAAACCCUAGUAGUCC
rnacentral:rRNA from 1 species